UUGCAUUCAGCUCCUCAGGGCUCAGAGAUGAUAUGGCCACCAUAACCCGGUGAGUUGAUGAUGACAGUACCUCUACAACUGAGCUCCGGCGCCUCUGGAUUAUGCGAAGAAGGGGAUCAGAGGAAGAAUGCCUCCGACCCUGGAAAAAGUUGCUAAAAAUACUUGCCGCUGACCACCUUCGGGUGUUUUCUUCAGUACGUAUCAAAUUCUAGUGGAGGCAGAAAUGAGCAAGAUAAAAUGCUACAUGCAGUUAUUUUACCAUUGAAUCUAGUAGGACUUGCAAGUAUUCACUCAAAUUAUACGUUGACAAGUUUGAAAGCACAUAUAUGAAGAUCCUUCUCUAAUGAGAAAUCCAAACACAAGUCUUUGCCUGAACAGAAAACAGUUCUUCUGAUGUUUUAAUAUGAUUGCUAAUACAAGGUAUGCCUUGCCAUGAAGACCUCACACCUGACAAAAAGAAAGCUAAAGGAAAGCA